rnacentral:rRNA from 1 species
GUGUCAGCAGCCGCGGUAAUACAGAGGGUGCGAGCGUUGUUCGGAAUUACUGGGCGUAAAGCGCGUGUAGGCGGUGUCGUAAGUCGGAUGUGAAAGCCCUCGGCUCAACCGAGGAAGUGCAUCUGAUACUGCGGUGCUUGAGUGCCGGAGGGGGUGGCGGAAUUCCCGGUGUAGAGGUGAAAUUCGUAGAUAUCGGGAGGAACACCUGUGGCGAAGGCGGCCACCUGGACGGUAACUGACGCUGAGACGCGAAAGCGUGGGGAGCAAACAGGAUUAGAUACCCUGGUAGUCC